rnacentral:rRNA from 1 species
ACUACGGGUGGCUGCAGUGGGGAAUAUUGGGCAAUGGGCGCAAGCCUGACCCAGCAACGCCGCGUGAAGGAAGAAGGCUUUCGGGUUGUAAACUUCUUUUGACAGGGAAGAGUAGAAGACGGUACCUGUCGAAUAAGCCACGGCUAACUACGUGCCAGCAGCCGCGGUAAUACGUAGGUGGCAAGCGUUGUCCGGAUUUACUGGGUGUAAAGGGCGUGUAGCCGGGUUGACAAGUCAGAUGUGAAAUCCUGCGGCUUAACCGCAGAACUGCAUUUGAAACUGUUGAUCUUGAGUACUGGAGAGGCAGACGGAAUUCCUAGUGUAGCGGUGAAAUGCGUAGAUAUUAGGAGGAACACCAGUGGCGAAGGCGGUCUGCUGGACAGCAACUGACGGUGAGGCGCGAAAGCGUGGGGAGCGAACAGGAUUAGAUACCCCUGUAGUC